UUUUGACAUUUGUAAUUUGAAUGAGAUACAACCCUAGUUUCCCAGAACUCAGUUUCUUCUAUCUAUAUAAGUAAUUUUGUUUGCUCUUUGGGGAGCUUAAAGUUUUUGAUGUUUAGAAACAAAAUAUUUCUAGUAGGUAACUAGCAUGUAAAGCUUUUUCUUUUAAUAAUUGUUUUCAAGCUUUAUUUUUUUUGGUAGGACAAUAUGUUUCUCUUUGUUUUAAAUUUUAUUUGUAUGGUAAAGCCUUGGAGGAUUUUCUGAGGGCAGCAGAGAAGAAAUUGUUGGAAUGGUCUCUUUUUGUCACAUUGAAAUUAGUCAAAAUUACUGUAUUCAAAUUUUAAUGUAUUUCUAAGAAGCAUUUUGUUGCAGUUAUCAGUCAUUCAGAUGGAUUAUGGAAAGUUAAUUUUGGGGAACAAAGCUUUGUCCAUUUCAAUGUCAAUUUAUUAUUUCAUUAUUGAAAUAAUGAAUCACACUAAUUUGAGUAAUUGAUUUUUCUAAAGAUUUUGGACCCAAAGUUAUAUUUAGCUUAGAAUUAUUAGUGAGUAGUACUUAGCCUGUAUAUAGUGAGAAACAUGGAAAGAAGGUGAUAUAUGAGUAACUGAAUGUAGAUGGAGAGGUAUCUAUAAGAUCUGAGUGGAUGAACUGUUCAGUAGAGUGAAUGCACCUUGCUUUAUACAUUGGUUGUAUUGUAAGUUUAAACUUUAUAAACUAAUUAUAUUUGAAAUAAAAAGAAUGAUUA
rnacentral:lncRNA from 1 species